rnacentral:rRNA from 1 species
GUCCUGGCUCAGGAUGAACGCUGGCGGCGUGCUUAACACAUGCAAGUCGAACGGACUUUAUAUGAAGCCUAGCGAUUAUAAAGUUAGUGGCGGACGGGUGAGUAACGCGUGAAUAACCUGCCCUGUACCGGGGGACAACAGUUGGAAACGGCUGCUAAUACCGCAUAAGCGCACGGUUCCGCAUGGAACAGUGUGAAAAACUCCGGUGGUACAGGAUGGAUUCGCGUCUGAUUAGCCAGUUGGUGGGGUAACGG